CUUGUCGGGUAAGUUCCGACCUGCACGAAUGGCGUAACGACUUGGACGCUGUCUCAACGAGGGGCUCGGUGAAAUUGCAGUCUCGGUGAAGAUGCCGAGUACUCGCAGCUAGACGGAAAGACCCCGUGAACCUUUACUGCACCCUGAUAUUGGCAUUCGAUCCAUUUCGCUCAGGAUAGGUGGGAGACGUUGAAGCAUCGGCUGCGGCUGGUGUGGAGUCAACCUUGAGAUACCACCCUUGAUGUAUUGGAUGUCUAACUGGUUACCGUGAUCCGGUGCCGGGACAGUGUCAGGCGGGUAGUUUGACUGGGGCGGUCGCCUCCUAAAAUGUAACGGAGGCGCGCAAAGGUUCCCUCAGUACGGUCGGAAAUCGUACGUAGAGUGUAAAAGCAAUAAGGGAGCUUGACUGCGAGACUGACAAGUCGAGCAGGUGCGAAAGCAGGCUUUAGUGAUCCGGCAGUAGCAAGUGGAAGCGCUGUCGCUCAACGGAUAAAAGGUACUCCGGGGAUAACAGGCUUAUCGGGCCCAAGAGUCCACAUCGACGGCCCGGUUUGGCACCUCGAUGUCGGCUCGUCGCAUCCUGGGGCCGGAGUAGGUCCCAAGGGUUGGGCUGUUCGCCCAUUAAAGCGGUACGCGAGCUGGGUUCAGAACGUCGCGAGACAGUUCGGUCCCUAUCUGCUGUGAGCGUUGGAGAAUUGCGAGGAGUUGCCCCUAGUACGAGAGGACCGGGGUGAACAGGCCUCUAGUGUAUCUGUUGUCCUGCCAAGGGCAUCGCAGAUUAGCCACGCCUGGAUUGGAUAACCGCUGAAAGCAUCUAAGCGGGAAGCCAACCUCAAGAUGAAUUCUCCCACCACUUUAAGUGGGUAAGACCCCUGGUAGACCACCAGGUUGAUAGGCCGCAGUUGUAAGGAGAGCAAUUUCCUUAGACGAGCGGUACUAAUUGGUCGAGGGCUUGAUGGA
rnacentral:rRNA from 1 species